CAGGGAUUGCCCUAGUAACGGCGAGUGAAGCGGCAACAGCUCAAAUUUGAAAUCUGGCCCUAGGCCCGAGUUGUAAUUUGCAGAGGAUGCUUCGGGCGCGGUGCCUUCCAAGUCCCCUGGAACGGGGCGCCGGAGAGGGUGAGAGCCCCGUACGGUUGGCGGCCAAGCCUGUGUGAAGCUCCUUCSACGAGUCGAGUAGUUUGGGAAUGCUGCUCUAAGCGGGAGGUAGACCCCUUCUAAAGCUAAAUAUAGGCCAGAGACCGAUAGCGCACAAGUAGAGUGAUCGAAAGAUGAAAAGCACUUUGAAAAGAGGGUUAAAUAGCACGUGAAAUUGUUGAAAGGGAAGCGCUUGUGACCAGACGUGCGCCGGGGUGUUCAGCGGGCGUUCUCGCCCGUGCACUCGCCUCGGCGCAGGCCAGCGUCGGUUCGAGUGGGAGGAUAAAGGCGUCUGGAAUGUGGCUCCUUCGGGAGUGUUAUAGCCAGACGUGCCAUGCUCCCGCCCGGACCGAGGUACGCGUUCUGCAAGGACGCUGGCGUAAUGGUCUCCAGCGACCCGUCUUGAAACACGGACCAAGGAGUCGAGGUUUUGCGCGAGUGUUUGGGUGUUAAACCCGCACGCGUAAUGAAAGUGAACGUAGGUGGGAGCUUCGGCGCACCACCGACCGAUCCUGAUGUUUUCGGAUGGAUUUGAGUAAGAGCGUAGGGCCUCGGACCCGAAAGAUGGUGAACUAUGCUUGGAUAGGGUGAAGCCAGAGGAAACUCUGGUGGAGGCUCGCAGCGGUUCUGACGUGCAAAUCGAUCGUCAAAUCUGAGCA
rnacentral:rRNA from 1 species